UACAGGUGGUGCAUGGUUGUCGUCAGCUCGUGUCGUGAGAUGUUGGGUUAAGUCCCGCAACGAGCGCAACCCUUGUCUUCAGUUACCAGCAUUGAGUUGGGGGACUCUGGAGAGACUGCCGGUGACAAACCGGAGGAAGGUGGGGAUGACGUCAAAUCAUCAUGCCCCUUAUGACCUGGGCUGCACACGUACUACAAUGGCGUAUACAACGGGAAGCGAAGUGGUGACACGGAGCAAAUCUCACAAAGUACGUCUCAGUUCAGAUUGAAGUCUGCAACUCGACUUCAUGAAGUCGGAAUCGCUAGUAAUCGCGGAUCAGCAUGCCGCGGUGAAUACGUUCUCGGGCCUU
rnacentral:rRNA from 1 species